AUUGAACGCUGGCGGCAUGCUUUACACAUGCAAGUCGAACGGUAACAGGGAGCUUGCUCCGCUGACGAGUGGCGAACGGGUGAGUAAUGCGUCGGAACGUGCCGAUUAGUGGGGGAUAACGCAUCGAAAGGUGUGCUAAUACCGUAUACGUACUGAGGUAGAAAGUGGGGGACCUUCGGGCCUCACGCUAUUCGAGCGGCCGGCGUCUGAUUAGCUAGUUGGUGAGGUAAAGGCUCACCAAGGCGACGAUCAGUAGCGGGUCUGAGAGGAUGAGCCGCGACACUGGGACUGAGACACGGCCCAGACUCCUACGGGAGGCAGCAGUGGGGAAUUUUGGACAAUGGGCGCAAGCCUGAUCCAGCCAUGCCGCGUGUCUGAAGAAGGCCUUCGGGUUGUAAAGGACUUUUGUCCGGGAGCAAAUGCCUGGUGUUAAUAGCAUCGGGAGCUGAGAGUACCGGAAGAAUAAGCACCGGCUAACUACGUGCCAGCAGCCGCCGUAACAC
rnacentral:rRNA from 1 species